AUUGAACGCUGGCGGCAUGCCUUACACAUGCAAGUCGAACGGUAACAGGUCUUCGGAUGCUGACGAGUGGCGAACGGGUGAGUAAUACAUCGGAACGUGCCUAGUAGUGGGGGAUAACUACUCGAAAGAGUGGCUAAUACCGCAUGAGAUCUACGGAUGAAAGCAGGGGAUCGCAAGACCUUGUGCUACUAGAGCGGCCGAUGGCAGAUUAGGUAGUUGGUGGGAUAAAAGCUUACCAAGCCGACGAUCUGUAGCUGGUCUGAGAGGACGAUCAGCCACACUGGGACUGAGACACGGCCCAGACUCCUACGGGAGGCAGCAGUGGGGAAUUUUGGACAAUGGGCGCAAGCCUGAUCCAGCAGUGCCGCGUGCAGGAUGAGGGCCUUCGGGUUGUAAACUGCUUUUGUACGGAACGAAAAGCCCUGGGUUAAUACCCUGGGGUCAUGACGGUACUGUAAGAAUAAGCACCGGCUAACUACGUGCCAGCCGCCGCGGUAAAAC
rnacentral:rRNA from 1 species